rnacentral:lncRNA from 1 species
UCACGAGUUGGUUGACCGUUAUGGAAUAACCGUUUCACAAAUGAUAUCGGAUAUGUUCCUUACGUCGUAACUACAACCCCCUUCCCUUUCAUGAAUGUGACCUACCGAAUUAGACUAUUUACCUGAUUUGUAAUCACAUAAGCAACACGACGGGUGCCACAUGUGAAGCAGGAUCUGCUUACCCUUCCGGAGCACCUGAGAUCACCCUUAGUUUUUUGUGGGGUUCGUGUUGUUUAUUCUUUAGUUUUCUAUGUUGUGUCAUGUGUACGAUUGUUUUUCUGUUUGUCUUUUUCAUUUUUAGCCAUGGCGUUGUCAGUUUGUUUUAGAUUUAUGAGUUUGACUGUCCCUUUGGUAUCUUUCGUCCCUCUUUUAU